GAUGAACGCUGGUGGCGUGCCUAAUACAUGCAAGUCGAACGAACCUUCGGGUUAGUGGCAAACGGGUGAGUAAUAAAUAGAUAAUUUGCCCCAUAGUCUGGGAUAACUUUUUGAAAAAAAAGCUAAUACCAGAUAUUCUCUAAUAAUCGCAUGAUUUAUGAGGAAAGUUUUUCGCUAUGGGAUAAGUCUAUUUCUGAUUAGUUUGUUGGUAGGGUAAUGGCCUACCAAGACUACGAUCGGUAGCUGGUCUGAGAGGAUGAACAGCCACACUGGAACUGAGACACGGUCCAGACUCCUACGGGAGGCAGCAGUAAGGAAUAUUGCGCAAUGGGCGAAAGCCUGACGCAGCGACGCCACGUGAGUGAUGACGUCUUUAGGGAUGUAAAGCUCUGUCAAGAGGGACGAUUAUGACGGUACCUCUAAAGGAAGCCCCGGCUAACUACG
rnacentral:rRNA from 1 species